AUAUUAUAGCUGUGUGUUAUUCCAGCUACUUCCGGGAAGAAAGACCUCGUCGCCGUGCAAAUUUCCGGCGACUUAAGAGGCUGUCCGUAACUAAAACUACCCUUUUGUUGGUUCUGUGCAAAAUCCGAGACCACCACGAGGUUCGGAAGAGAAUUCCGACCAACCCCAGAAAAAAUCACCGGAAACCAGCCAGCCACGCACCCCCACGCGCCGGCAAUACCCUCGGCGCGUGAGCCCACGCGUCGACGCGUAAGGGCCUUUCCGGCCACUUUUUCAGUUCGCUCCAGAAGAACAGUUUGGUCGGCCUUCAAUUCCGACCCUACCCAUCCUUGUUUCGUUCGAUUCCGACAAC
rnacentral:lncRNA from 1 species